UAGGGGAGUAAGAGAUUGAAGGUUGAAGAGCCUUCGUUCUCUACCUUGAAGAUUGAAGAGCCUUCGUUCCCUAUCUUUGCUCACUCAAUAUCUUUACUGGAUUUCAUUUUUAUCAAUGGAGUUCAUCAAUUUCUGUAACGCCAAUGAAUAAUAAUACUUACCUUUACCUUCCCGUGGACAUAAGCUUUGCCGAACCGCGUUAAUAUCUGUGUGAAUCCUUUAUUUAUAUGCUUAUACUUUGCUUUCUACUUGUUGUUUUAUGGUUUGAAUCAAGAUCCAAUGAUCUUAUCCUUUUGAUUGUGCUAUUAGAAAAAUGAUAGUGACAAUGGAAAUAAAAAUCGUUCUCCUUUUUCAUACCAACCGGGAUAAUAUGGGUUACAGAACUAAUUAUAUGGAGCAGGCAUUUGACGAAUAGCUGAGCGUUUAUGAACAGUGGUUGAAAUUUGGACCACAGGUACUUUACGCCUGUAAUCAACAAAAUAAAAAAGAGAACUGUGAUGUAUAAUUAUUUUAACAUGCUUCCUAUUCAAAUAAGAGUGCAUGGGGAAGUCACAUCACAAGGACACAUUUGGCAUCCCUCUAGGACCUGGGAAACCCUUGAAUAAGACUUGAGCUAUAGGUUUGUGUUUGCUUAUGUGAGCUACAAGGAAUAUGAAGCCCCAAUAAUAUGAUUUAGAAUGGUCACCGCAUCUUGAUUAUUGGUCUGGAAGCUUUCAAAACAAAUUAAUUUUAUAUGGAUACUUUUCGUUGACUAAUGACAAAGAGAUCUCCAUAAAGUUAUUUGAUUUAAGGCAUAUAGAUGGAGAUUGAGAGCAAUUAACGGGUGGAAAUUGUGUUGAAAACGGUUGUGCAGUUCUUUAAUAGAGUGCAUAUUGGUUCACUUUGAGACAGACUAUUAUACUAGGAAUAAUCUACAAGGUAUUAACAAGCCGGUACUGCCUUGAGAUUCUUCUUUGAUCCAUAUACUAUAUGCAAACAAAAUUUGUGGGGCCAUGUGCAUUUGUUUCGGACUAUGAUAGUGUUCUCUUUGAUCCUCAUGGUGGUGGAAACUUUGAUAUAAAUGAGGUGUACUUAUUUUUGUAUUGAAUGUAUAUUGUGAUAUUAUCUAUGUGUGGAAUUUCUUUAGCAACUAAUUAAUCUUUACAUUUG